rnacentral:rRNA from 1 species
GACGAACGCUGGCGGCGUGCUUAACACAUGCAAGUCGAACGGCAAGGCACUGCUUGCGUGCGGUGACGGAGUGGCGGACGGGUAAGUAAGACGUGAGUAACCUGCCCUAGACUUUGGGAUAACUUCAGGAAGGUGGGGUUACGACCGGACAGCAGCCCCCGUACCAGGGAGGGGGUGGGAACGUCUCGGCGGUCGGGGAUGGAUGGGCGGCUGACCGGCUUGUUGGUGGGGUAGUGGCAUACCAAGGCUUUGGAGGGUCGCCGGCCUGGGAGGGGGACCGGCGACCAUGGGCCUGAGGUACGGCCCAGUCUCCUAUGGGAGGCAGCGGUGGGGAAUAUUGCACAGUGGGCGGAAGCCUGAGGCGGCAGCGCCGCGUGCGUGAUGACGGUCUGCUGGUUGUGAAACGCAUUCGCCUGAUACGAAGCGUGUGUGACGGUAAUGGGUGAAGAAGCACCGGCUAACUACGUG